rnacentral:misc_RNA from 1 species
UCAACUGACUACUCUUUGAACGUGCACACAGUGAGAAAGGAUGAUGAGUUUGAGGUUUUACCUAUAUUCAUCAUAGAAAAGAAAUCAACUUUCUAACAAUCUUUUACCAAAUUUUUUUAGUAUUCUUCUUUUUCUUCUAUUCUUCAGGUGUGUUAAUCUUUUGACUCCUUUUCUCUAGUUGCUUAUGUAAGGGAUGUGCCAGUGCUACCUCUCUUUUGAUAGUGUUGAUCGAUAGCUAGAUAGGGAGAGGUGAUCAGAAAAAGGUUUCUGAGAGAAACCCAUUGAUCAAAAUAUGCAAAUGAGGAAAAACAUCAGGAUGAGUAAGA